GACGAACGCUGGCGGCGUGCUUAACACAUGCAAGUCGAACGGAGAGGCCCUGCUUUUGUGGGGUGCUCGAGUGGCGAACGGGUGAGUAACACGUGAGUAACCUGCCCUUGACUUUGGGAUAACUUCAGGAAACUGGGGCUAAUACCGGAUAGGAGCUCCUGCUGCAUGGUGGGGGUUGGAAAGUUUCGGCGGUUGGGGAUGGACUCGCGGCUUAUCAGCUUGUUGGUGGGGUAGUGGCUUACCAAGGCUUUGACGGGUAGCCGGCCUGAGAGGGUGACCGGCCACAUUGGGACUGAGAUACGGCCCAGACUCCUACGGGAGGCAGCAGUGGGGAAUAUUGCGCAAUGGGCGGAAGCCUGAUGCAGCAACGCCGCGUGCGGGAUGACGGCCUUCGGGUUGUAAACCGCUUUCGCCUGUGACGAAGCGUGAGUGACGGUAAUGGGUAAAGAAGCACCGGCUAACUACGUG
rnacentral:rRNA from 1 species